GACGAACGCUGGCGGCGUGCCUAAUACAUGCAAGUCGAGCGGAAGUUGAAGAGCUUGCUCUUCAACUUUAGCGGCGGACGGGUGAGUAACACGUGGGCAACCUGCCCUGCAGAUCGGGAUAACUCCGGGAAACCGGUGCUAAUACCGAAUAGUUUUCGCCACCUCCUGGUGGCGUACGGAAAGAAGUUUCGGCUGUCACUGCAGGAUGGGCCCGCGGCGCAUUAGCUAGUUGGUGGGGUAACGGCCCACCAAGGCAACGAUGCGUAGCCGACCUGAGAGGGUGAUCGGCCACACUGGGACUGAGACACGGCCCAGACUCCUACGGGAGGCAGCAGUAGGGAAUCUUCCGCAAUGGACGAAAGUCUGACGGAGCAACGCCGCGUGAGUGACGAAGGUUUUCGGAUCGUAAAACUCUGUUGUGAGGGAAGAACAAGUACCACUUAACUACUGGUACCUUGACGGUACCUCACCAGAAAGCCACGGCUAACUACGUGCCAGCCGCCGCAGUAAAAC
rnacentral:rRNA from 1 species